rnacentral:rRNA from 1 species
GACGUAGGGUGCAAGCGUUGUCCGGAUUUACUGGGCGUAAAGAGCGCGUAGGCGGUCUGUUAAGUGUAGAGUGAAAUCUCCAGGGCUCAACCCGGAAACUGCUCUGCAUACUGGCAGACUUGAGGGUCGAAGAGGUUUAUGGAAUUCCUGGUGUAGCGGUGAAAUGCGUAGAUAUGACAUAGAACACCAAUUGCGAAGGCAGCUUACUACACAACGAUUGACGCUGAGGCACGAAAGCGUGGGGAUCAAACAGG